UUAAUGAGCAGAACUAUAAUACUUGUAUGUUUUAAUAAUAUAAAUUGUUUUCUGUUUUAGUAUUAGUAGUAUAGAUAAAUUGUUAAUGUGUAGUACUGUAAAGGAUAUAUAGGUAUUUGGGUUUUAGUAGAAGUAUAGUUUUGUACCUUUUGCAUAAUGGGUUGAUGAUAUUAUUGUUUGAUAUUGAAACUAUCUCGAAUUGAAAGGAUUUAUUUGGUAAAACGUAUGUUGACGUGGUAAAGUCAUAUAUUGAUUAUUAGAUGGUAGUGAAAUGUUUAUCGUUUUUCAGGAUAGCUAGUUUAUUGGUGAAGGAUAUCUAAGUAUUAUAACAGUGGUAUAAUUGCUUAUAUAUUUAACUGUUAGUGUAUUAUGUAGGGGAUAAGCUUUACAUAGUGUGUAGAAUAUUUAAGGAUAUGACUAUUAUAACUUAAGUAGGGUUAAAAUAAGUUCUUCUUGUUGAUUUAAGUUUUAGUGUUGGAUUAUUAUAUUCAGGGUGCUAGCUAAUAAAUAGUUGUGAAUUAUAAUUAAUUAAAUAUAAUGUUAAUAUGAGUAUUGGUAUAUUAUAUAUUAUGUAUUUGUAAUUUUUGUAGUUGUAAAUAAUUAUAAGUUGUAAUGUAAGUAAAAUAAAAUAAAGGAAUUCGGCAAAUAUUAAUCUCGCCUGUUUAUCAAAAACAUCUCUCUUUGUGGUUUGUAUAUAAGGAGUUGGGCCUGCUCGGUGAAAAGUUUUAACAGCUGCGGUAUUUUAACUGUACUAAGGUAGCAUAAUAAUUUGCCUUAUAAUUUGAGGCUAGAAUGAAUGGUUUGACGAAGGUUAAUCUGUCUCUAUUUUACUUUUUAGAAAUUAAUUUUCAUAGUGAAAAGGCUUGAAUUUUUUAAAGGGACGAGAAGACCCUAUUGAGCUUGUAAUUUUAUUAUUAUUAGUAUUAUUUAUUCUUAUUGGUAGUAUAUAAAUUUUAAUUGGGGUGAUUAAGGAAUAAGGUUUGUAGUUUUAGUAACUUCCUUAUUAAUAAUAAUUGUUAAAUAAAGUAACCAAUAUUAUUGCUUAUACUAUAGUUACCAUAGGGAUAACAGCGUAAUUUAUUUAGAGAGUUCUUAUUGAAAAAUAAGAUUGCGACCUCGAUGUUGGAUUAAAGUAACCUUAAGGUGCAGAAGCUUUAAUAAGGUAAAUCUGUUCGAUUUUUAAAACUUUACAUGAUCUGAGUUCAGACCGGCGUGAGCCAGGUUGGUUUCUAUCUUUUAAAAAUUGUUUUUGCUUCUUUUAGUACGAAAGGACCGAAGAAAGCUAAAAGUAUUAUUAUAAUAUAUUGAUAUAAUAUCUUUUUAAAUUUUGUUAU
rnacentral:rRNA from 1 species